rnacentral:rRNA from 1 species
UUCGCAAUGCCCGAAAGGGUGACGAAGCGACGCCGCGUGUGGGAAGAAGGCCUUCGGGUUGUAAACCACUGUCGGGAGUUAAGAAGUGUAAGGGGGUUAAUAGUCUCCUUACUUGACGUUAGCUCCGGAGGAAGCCACGGCUAACUCUGUGCCAGCAGCCGCGGUAAUACAGAGGUGGCAAGCGUUGUUCGGAAUUAUUGGGCGUAAAGAGCACGUAGGCGGCCCUGCAAGUCAGCUGUGAAAUCCUUCUGCUCAACGGAAGAACGGCAGUUGAUACUAUAGGGCUCGAGUGCGGGAGGGGAGAGUGGAACUUCUGGUGGAGCGGUGAAAUGCGUAGAUAUCAGAAGGAACAUCGGCGGCGAAGGCGACUCUCUGGCCCGUAACUGACGCUGAGGUGCGAAAGCUAGGGGAGCAAACGGGAUUAGAUACCCCGGUAGUCCUAGCCGUAAACGAUGGGCACUAAGUAGAGGGGUU